GGCGAACGCUGGCGGCAUGCCUAACACAUGCAAGUCGCACGGGGGGGCUUCGGCCUCCCAGUGGCGGACGGGUGAGGAACGCGUAGGGACCUGUCGAGGGGUGGGGGAUAACCGCGGGAAACUGCGGCUAAUACCGCAUGACGCCGCGGCGUGACAGCCGGGGCCAAAGGCGAAAGCCGCCCGCCGAGGGGCCUGCGUCCGAUUAGCUGGUUGGCGGGGUAGCGGCCCACCAAGGCGUCGAUCGGUAGCUGGUCUGAGAGGGUGAUCAGCCACACCGGGACUGAGACACGGCCCGGACUCCUACGGGAGGCAGCAGUGGGGAAUAUUGGACAAUGGGCGCAAGCCUGAUCCAGCAAUGCCGCGUGGGUGAAGAAGGUCUUCGGAUUGUAAAGCCCUUUCGGCGGGGACGAUGGUGACGGUACCCGCAGAAGAAGCCCCGGCUAACUUCGUG
rnacentral:rRNA from 1 species